CAGUAGCCGCGGGAAUACGAAGGGGGCUAGCGUUGUUCGGAAUUACUGGGCGUAAAGCGCACGUAGGCGGAUAUUUAAGUCAGGGGUGAAAUCCCAGAGCUCAACUCUGGAACUGCCUUUGAUACUGGGUAUCUUGAGUAUGGAAGAGGUUAGUGGAAUUGCGAGUGUAGAGGUGAAAUUCGUAGAUAUUCGCAGGAACACCAGUGGCGAAGGCGGCUAACUGGUCCAUAACUGACGCUGAGGUGCGAGAGCGUGGGGAGCAAACAGGAUUAGAUACCCCAGUAGUCCCUGUCUCUUAUAC
rnacentral:rRNA from 1 species